UCCGGGGCGGGAAGCGGGAGGAACUGGGUCCGGCUCCUCCCCAAGGGGGAUCGGGUGGCGUGAAGACCCCUGGGCGGGAGGAUCCCUAGUGGCUCCAUGCCCUGGGGGAGGGCCCGAUUCCUGUGUGACCUUGGGUGAGGGGCCGCCCUCUCUGAGCCCUAUCUGUGGUACUUGUCAAAUGGGGAAAACGCGCUUCCACCUCUUGGGGCUAUUGAGGGCUCGGUGAGAUGGGGUGCGGGAUGCACCGGCUCUGCGCUCCGGGCCUAGUAGGCGCUCGGCGGCAUUUCUGUUACUAGGUAGGGGAGUGGGAAGGGUAGGCAGGACCGGCCCAGGACCGCAGUGGCCACCUCAGGCCUGCCCAAGGCCUGCGCCGUCCCUGGAUACCGCCUCCAUCAUCUCGGCCACCCACUGCUCCUCCGCCUCGCAGGAAACCGAACCCCCGCGAAGGUCCUGUCCCGUCCCCGCGCCCCCUCGGUGCGGCCUCUCCUGCUGGAGGCGGCGGGGGAUUCUCGGCCCUUCCCCAGAGGCUGCUGCCUCCUCGAUCCCUCAUCCAACUGGCUUUACUUUAGCAUCUUUAUCUUUCUGGGCGACCUUCCAACUAUUUGUUUCUCUAUCAGAAAACCCCAGAGCCCAUCUUACGUGUCUAUCUCCAUUCUUCCUUUCAUGACUCAGACGGCUUCCGAACAUCACAAUCGGUGGGGAAGAUACCGACCGACCUCAGGCUCUGCGCCCGCUGACUGCCGCCUCCUCGCCUCCUCCGGCCCUGGGGCGGAAUCAGGGUGAACCCCCCCCCGCCCCCCCCGAGAUGACCACCCUCUGAGCCCUCCCCCAACAGGCGUCGCGGGCGGGGCCUGUGGACCUGACCUCCCGCCCCUCACGCCACCUGCAGCCGCCCACAGUAGCAGCCUUCCAACUGGACUCCCUGCUCACUGCAGAGCCGCCUCUUCUGACCAGAAAGCCCUAGCUCCUCUCUUGGCCCACAAGGCCCUGCUUGAUCUGGACCUGCCGACCUCUCCAGGUGCAUCCCUCACCAUCCUGCUCCCCAGCUUCAGCCCUUCAAACCUCCUUCACCUCCUCAGACUCAAGGAGUUUCUAGGUGUCACCCACUGUUCAUUCUAAGAGAACUAGCCUCUGUCCCCACCCUCAUUUACUAAACGCCUUCUUAUCCAGGAGAUCUUGGUAGGGAGCUCCGCCUCCUCCUGGAGGGCUUCUUAGUUCCUCACCUGGCCACCCCACCCCCCAUGGGUUCCCCUGAUACACUCUUCCUUCAUAGUACCCAUCACAGGCAGAAAAGUGUUGGUGGGAAUCUUCGAUUAAUGUUUGCUGUGCCCACUAGACUUAUGGACUUCACAGGGACGGGACCCCAUCAGUCUUGUCACCCUGGUAUCCCCAGUACCUGGCCCCAACAAGUUUUCUGAAUAAAGAAUAAACAGUUGUGCCCUUGAA